rnacentral:rRNA from 1 species
AUAGGGACGAAGGGCGAAGGGUUAAUAGCCCCUAGCCUGACGGUACCUUUCGAGGAAGCCCCGGCUAACUACGUGCCAGCAGCCGCGGUAAUACGUAGGGGGCGAGCGUUGUCCGGAAUUAUUGGGCGUAAAGAGCGUGUAGGCGGUUCGGUAAGUCUGCCGUGAAAACCUGAGGCUCAACCUCGGGCGUGCGGUGGAUACUGCCGGGCUAGAGGACGGUAGAGGCGAGUGGAAUUCCCGGUGUAGCGGUGAAAUGCGCAGAUAUCGGGAGGAACACCAGUAGCGAAGGCGGCUCGCUGGGCCGUUCCUGACGCUGAGACGCGAAAGCUAGGGGAGCGAACAGGAUUAGAUACCCUGGUAGUCCUAGCCGUAAACGAUGGACACUAGGUGUGGGGGGAGUCGAAUCCCUCUGUGCCGCAGUUAACGCGUUAAGUGUCCCGCCUGGGGAGUACGGCCGCAAGGCUAAAACUCAAAAGAAUUGACGGGGGCCCGCACAAGCAGCGGAGCAUGUUCUUUAAUUCGAUGCAACGCGAAGAACCUUACCUGGGCUUGACAUGGUGCUGCAAGCGCACGGAAACGUGUGACCUUCGAGGGUGCACCACAGAUGCUGCAUGGCUGUC